rnacentral:rRNA from 1 species
UGGGGAAUAUUGGACAAUGGGCGCAAGCCUGAUCCAGCCAUGCCGCGUGUGUGAAGAAGGCCUUUUGGUUGUAAAGCACUUUAAGCGAGGAGGAGGCUACUUGGAUUAAUACUCUAGGAUAGUGGAAGUUACUCGCAGAAUAAGCACCGGCUAACUCUGUGCCAGCAGCCGCGGUAAUACAGAGGGUGCGAGCGUUAAUCGGAUUUACUGGGCGUAAAGCGUGCGUAGGCGGCUUCUUAAGUCGGAUGUGAAAUCCCUGAGCUUAACUUAGGAAUUGCAUUCGAUACUGGGAAGCUAGAGUAUGGGAGAGGAUGGUAGAAUUCCAGGUGUAGCGGUGAAAUGCGUAGAGAUCUGGAGGAAUACCGAUGGCGAAGGCAGCCAUCUGGCCUAAUACUGACGCUGAGGUACGAAAGCAUGGGGAGCAAACAGG